AUUCAAAUAGCUUAUAUUAGAGUUUAAUAUUGAAGAUAUUAAGGAAAUAAUUUUUAUUUUUGAAUA
rnacentral:tRNA from 1 species